rnacentral:rRNA from 1 species
UACGUAGGGUGCGAGCGUUAAUCGGAAUUACUGGGCGUAAAGCGUGCGCAGGCGGAUACUUAAGCCAGACGUGAAAUCCCCGGGCUUAACCUGGGAAUGGCGUUUGGGACUGGGAGUCUUGGAGUGUGGCAGAGGGAGGUGGAAUUCCUGGUGUAGCAGUGAAAUGCGUAGAUAUCAGGAGGAACACCGAUGGCGAAGGCAGCCUCCUGGGCCAGCACUGACGCUCAAGCACGAAAGCGUGGGGAGCAAACAGG